UACGAAGGGGGCUAGCGUUGCUCGGAAUGACUGGGCGUAAAGGGUGCGUAGGCGGGUCUUUAAGUCAGGGGUGAAAUCCUGGAGCUCAACUCCAGAACUGCCUUUGAUACUGAGGAUCUUGAGUUCGGGAGAGGUGAGUGGAACUGCGAGUGUAGCGGUGAAAUGCGUAGAUAUCUGGAGGAACACCGGUGGCGAAGGCGGCAUCCUGGACCAACACUGACGCUGAGGAGCGAAAGCCAGGGGAGCAAACGGG
rnacentral:rRNA from 1 species